rnacentral:misc_RNA from 1 species
GCAACAUCCAUCUUACCCUUGAAAUCCUCAACUACCCUCUUUCUAACCUCUCAUUAUCCAAUAUAUGAUUUAUUUUAUUUUUUGCACGGAAACGGAGAAAAGAGGGCGUUUGAUCGAGCACCAUUGGCUACUGUGUCGUUUCCCAUCGCUCCUAAGGUUGCCUGUACAUUCUCUCAAUGGAAGAUGACAUGAUAAUGGACAAAAAGCGCAGAAAAACUGCUUCAGCAGAUUUUCUUUUACAGUGG